rnacentral:lncRNA from 1 species
GUUAUGCUCUCCCUAACCCCCAACCGUCAAGACUACUCUGCCUUUCCAUCCAAGACUCUUUCUGGAGGAAUGAGUGUUUUACCACAUGAUUGAACUUUCCCACGCCCUCCACAGAGGUUUCCUCACCCUUGAACUGAGAUCUAGAAUCCAGAUGUCUCGUCUCCAACAAGUUCAUCAACCGCAUGUUUUACAUCAAUAAAAAAAUGGCAAUAAAGCAAGAAUUUGCAGAUGGUGACGUCUUGGAAGUUUCUGUGGCACCUCUGGGCGUGGGUCCUGAAGAGUCACCUCAGAAAGACAAGGGACAUCUGCAGCUGCACAGUUCACCCGAGAAAGCAAAUGUGCUCAAGCCAUAAAUGGUGUUGGACCUGGCCAUGUGUCUUAUCUCCUGAUUGGAAUCAGGCUGAAGUCACAGGGACAUGGACCGUCUCCCUGCCCCUCCGCGACAUGUAGGAGAGCCCACAAGAACAGCAUGUUAUGUGACCAUGACCGGUGAAUCCUGAACCCCGAAGUGUAGACGCUGAAGCAAAUCUGAAUCCAUCCAUGCCCAGCCAAGACUCGUCACUGCUGCCAACCUGCAGAUGUGCCAGCAUGCAAUUCACCUGUGCUGUUAAAAGUGUCUCAUGCUUUGAGGUUGUCUGUUACCAAUAAUAUUGAAACAUAAAGACAAAUCCAACCACCUUGGAAAUACUCUGGCAGUUUCUACUAAAAUUACAAUUGUACAUUCCCUAUAAUCCAUCAAUU